AUGAAUGAAUUGGCGUUCACGAAGGGACAGACUCUCCCUCUCUCAAUCUCUCAAUCCCGUUCCCAAUCUCACAAUGCUCUCUCAAUCUCUCCAUCAUACGCUCGUCCUCAACCUUCCUCAAUCACUCCGUCCUCAAUCGCUCUCGCGUACCACACAAUCUCUCUCACUCUAAAAUGCAAGGAUCCAUGGUUUUAAGGAGAAACAAAAAGAAAGAGGCUCACCUUCGGCGAAAACGACAGAGACGAUGAAGUUUAAAACUCACUCCUCCGCUUCUUCAAUCCAGGGUUUUCAGGAUGGCAUAUGGAGCUCAAAAGAGUAUCCUGCAAAACCCCCUUCUGGGUGGUCAGGGUUCGGUCGCCCUAAUCGAUGCUUGGGUUGGAACAGUGAAUAUGCCUCUCUUGCCACUGAGAAAUAUCCUUUCGAACUCUUGUUGAAUCAGAUUGUACUUCCUCACUAUAACUGAAUUCAUCUUCAUCUUUGAGAGGGAAAUUUUUGAAGGUGUCAAUGGUGAAUGAUUUGACGUGGUUUAUGAGUUCGUCGGUAAUCCCAUUGUUGUGUGGAAUUGGAUUCUGUUGAAGUGUUUGGAUUUGUGAAA